AAACAUUCCUGUUUACCCAGAAAGCAUCUUGGGAUUAAUCUCCAUGCCCAGGCUUAAUUCUUCCCAUCCAUCCCGAGUCUCUGUGUCAAGUGAAUUGAACAAUUGGGCGCUGUGGGAGCAAACGAGUAUUUCUAACGUCCCCUGGACCCCUGAAGUGGACUCUGAAUGCCGUAUUGAUUUUGGAAGAACUAUAGUCCAAGAAUUUCAACCCCUUCAACUGUUUUCUACACAUUUAUACAUAUACUUGAGAUAUUGUUUGCUGUACAAUAUCUCAAAUGAGGAAUAAAUGAAUAGAAUU